UUCUUUAACAACAAAAAGAAGUCACUCAAUACCUUCAUUUGACAGAAGAGGAAAUGAGGGCUCACAGAAGGGGAAUAAUUUGUCCUGUCACUCAGGAAGUACAUGGCAAAGAUAGGACCAGAAUUCAGCUUGUUUAAUACUGUUACUCAGGCAUCUGAUACCCACUUCCUAAGUGUCAAUUAACGUGCUGGGCUAAUUCUUGCAGAUUUCAAGGAGGAGAUGAUAUACGAAGCUUGAGGGAGUGGAAAGUUUAUAUAAUGGUAAAGUAAGGGCAUAUGGUAAAACUAAAUCCCAGAUCUCAGCUUUUGAACUUGCUUUGACUUUGAUCAAGUGACUUGCUCUAAGUCUCCAUCUGUCUUUAAAUAGAAGCAGUAAUAGUAC